rnacentral:misc_RNA from 1 species
UACAGAGACCUCAAGCGUUAUCCGGUAUUAUUGGGCGUAAAGCGUCCGCAGGUGGUUUUGACAGUCAUUGGUCAAAUCCCGAGGCUUAACCUCGGGACUGCUGAUGAUACUACAAAACUUGAGGCUGGAAGAGGCAAGCGGAACUGCCGGUGUAGUCGUAAUAAGCGUUGAUAUCGGCAGGAACACCAAAGGCGAAGGCAGCUUGCUAGUACAUGCCUGACACUCAUGGACGAAAGCGUGGGUAGCGAACGGG